rnacentral:lncRNA from 1 species
AGGUGUGUCAGAGGUUGGACAGGUGGCCUAAGUCUCCUUUGGACCUCAUGCCAGAAAGCCGGUCCCAAUUGUAAAUGUUAUUGAUCAAAACAGGGCUUUGAUUAAUGGACAUUGCACUAGGGUAAGGAGACAGGCCGCUCCUUUCAAAUGCAUGCGGCUCACUGACUUCAUCCUCAAGUUCGUACACAGCACCCUAAAGAAGUAUGUCCGACAAGCCUGGCAGGAGGCCAAUGUCAGUACAAAAUGGGCAGCCACAAGGCAGGACAAAAAGAUUGAAGCCAUAGAAAGGAAAGCCAAGAUGACAGAUUUUGAUAAUUUUAUAGUUAUGAAUGCAAAUAAAAUGAGGAGCAGAAUAAUCAAGAAUGAAAUUAAGAAGCUUCAAGAGGCAGCUGUCAUGAAAACUUCUCCUGAAAAAACACCUGCUGCUAAAGGUGCUGCUGCAGCUUCUUAAAGAGGACCACUGCAGGAAAGAAGGCUCCAGCCUAGAAGCCUCCUUCCCAGGAAACCACAGGCCAGAAGGCAGGUCCUCUUCCAAAAGCUGAGAAGGGUCAGAAAACUCCAGUUCCGAGAGCACCUGCUCCAAA